rnacentral:rRNA from 1 species
ACGGAGGCAGCAGUGGGGAAUAUUGGACAAUGGGGGAAACCCUGAUCCAGCGACGCCGCGUGAGUGAAGAAGUAUUUCGGUAUGUAAAGCUCUAUCAGCAAGGAAGAAAAUGACGGUACUUGACUAAGAAGCCCCGGCUAACUACGUGCCAGCAGCCGCGGUAAUACGUAGGGGGCAAGCGUUAUCCGGAUUUACUGGGUGUAAAGGGAGCGUAGACGGUGUGGCAAGUCUGAAGUGAAAGCCCGGGGCUCAACCCCGGGACUGCUUUGGAAACUGUCGUACUAGAGUGCAGGAGAGGUAAGUGGAAUUCCUAGUGUAGCGGUGAAAUGCGUAGAUAUUAGGAGGAACACCAGAGGCGAAGGCGGCUUACUGGACUGUAACUGACGUUGAGGCUCGAAAGCGUGGGGAGCAAACAGGAUUAGAUACCCUGGUA